UACGUAGGGUGCGAGCGUUGUCCGGAAUUAUUGGGCGUAAAGGGCUCGUAGGCGGUUUGUCGCGUCGGGAGUGAAAACCCAGGGCUUAACUCUGGGCUGGCUUUCGAUACGGGCAGACUAGAGGUAUGCAGGGGAGAACGGAAUUCCUGGUGUAGCGGUGAAAUGCGCAGAUAUCGAGGAGGAACACCGGUGGCGAAGGGCGGGAUUC
rnacentral:rRNA from 1 species